rnacentral:rRNA from 1 species
AACGCGAAGAACCUUACCUGGGCUUGACAUGUGCGAAAGCGGUAGGAAGUAGUCUGCGGAAACGUCUGACCAACGGUAUCCAAUCCGGAACCUACCACAGGUGCUGCAUGGCUGUCGUCAGCUCGUGUCGUGAGAUGUCGGGUUAAGUCCCAUAACGAGCGAAACCCUUGUUUCCAGUUGCCAGCGGGUCAUGCCGGGGACUCUGGAAAGACUGCCGGUGUUAAACCGGAGGAAGGUGGGGAUGACGUCAAGUCCUCAUGGCCUUUAUGUCCAGGGCUGCACACGUGCUACAAUGGCACAUACAAAGGGAUGCCAACUCGCGAGAGGGAGCCAAUCCCAAAAAGUGUGCCCCAGUUCAGAUUGCAGGCUGCAACUCGCCUGCAUGAAGUUGGAAUCGCUAGUAAUCGCAGGUCAGCAACACUGCGGUGAAUGUGUUCCCGGGCCUUGUACACACCGGAGUA